UAGGGAAUCUUCCGCAAUGGGCGAAAGCUUGACGGAGCAACGCCGCGUGAGUGAUGAAGGUCUUCGGAUCGUAAAACUCUGUUAUUAGGGAAGAACAAAUGUGUAAGUAACUAUGCACGUCUUGACGGUACCUAAUCAGAAUGCCACGGCUAACUACGUGCCAGCAGCCGCGGUAAUACGUAGGUGGCAAGCGUUAUCCGGAAUUAUUGGGCGUAAAGCGCGCGUAGGCGGUUUUUUAAGUCUGAUGUGAAAGCCCACGGCUCAACCGUGGAGGGGCAUGGGAAACUGGAAAACUUGAGUGCAGAAGAGGAAAGUGGGAUUCCGUGUGUAGCGGUGAAAUGCGCAGAGAUAUGGGGGAACACCAGUGGCGAAGGCGACUUUCUGGUCUGUAACUGACGCUGAUGUGCGAAAGCGUGGGGAUCAAACAGG
rnacentral:rRNA from 1 species